AAGUCGUAACAAGGUUUCCGUAGGUGAACCUGCGGAAGGAUCAUUACCAAAGUUUUUAUACUUUUGUAUGUGCACUGUUGGCCUGCCCUGGUGGUUUGGACUGUAAAAAGUCUAGGCCACCAUGUAAAUACGUAUACUUUCAGCUGACUUUUAUAUUUUAAAAUAAAAGACAACUUUUAGCAACGGAUCUCUAGGCUCUC
rnacentral:misc_RNA from 1 species